GAUGAACGCUGGCGGCGUGCCUAAUACAUGCAAGUCGAGCGAACAGACGAGGAGCUUGCUCCUCUGACGUUAGCGGCGGACGGGUGAGUAACACGUGGAUAACCUACCUAUAAGACUGGGAUAACUUCGGGAAGACGGAGCUAAUACCGGAUAAUAUAUUGUACCGCAUGGUUCAAUAGUGAAAGACGGUUUUGCUGUCUCUUAUAGAUGGAUCCGCGCCGCAUUAGCUAGUUGGUAAGGUAACGGCUUACCAAGGCAACGAUGCGUAGCCGACCUGAGAGGGUGAUCAGCCACACUGGAACUGAGACACGGUCCAGACUCCUACGGGAGGCAGCAGUAGGGAAUCUUCCGCAAUGGGCGAAAGCUUGACGGAGCAACGCCGCGUGAGUGAUGAAGGUCUUCGGAUCGUAAAACUCUGUUAUUAGGGAAGAACAAAUGUGUAAGUAACUAUGCACGUCUUGACGGUACCUAAUCAGAAAGCCACGGCUAACUACGUG
rnacentral:rRNA from 1 species